rnacentral:rRNA from 1 species
GGGUUCUACCGUUGGUCGGGCUAUUGUCUGUACUGGCGUGUAGAAUUUCUACCUUCUGGGGAACUAUCAUGUUAUUAAUUUAGCGUGGUAGGAAACCAGAACCUUUACCUUGAAAAAAUUAGAGUGUUCAAAGCAGGCUUAUGUCUGAAUACAUUAGCAUGGAAUAAUAAAAUAGGACGGUGGUCCUGUUUUGUUGGUUUCUGAAUCACCGUA